AUUGAACGCUGGCGGAAUGCUUUACACAUGCAAGUCGAACGGCAGCACGGGGGCAACCCUGGUGGCGAGUGGCGAACGGGUGAGUAAUACAUCGGAACGUGCCCAGUCGUGGGGGAUAACUACGCGAAAGCGUAGCUAAUACCGCAUACGAUCUACGGAUGAAAGCGGGGGAUCGCAAGACCUCGCGCGAUUGGAGCGGCCGAUGGCAGAUUAGGUAGUUGGUGGGGAAAGGCUCACCAAGCCAACGAUCUGUAGCUGGUCUGAGAGGACGACCAGCCACACUGGGACUGAGACACGGCCCAGACUCCUACGGGAGGCAGCAGUGGGGAAUUUUGGACAAUGGGCGAAAGCCUGAUCCAGCCAUUCCGCGUGCAGGAUGAAGGCCCUCGGGUUGUAAACUGCUUUUGUACGGAACGAAAAGCGCUGAGCUAAUACCUCGGCGUCAUGACGGUACCGUAAGAAUAAGCACCGGCUAACUACGUGCC
rnacentral:rRNA from 1 species